rnacentral:rRNA from 1 species
AUUGAACGCUGGCGGCAUGCUUUACACAUGCAAGUCGAACGGCAGCACGGGAGCAAUCCUGGUGGCGAGUGGCGAACGGGUGAGUAAUAUAUCGGAACGUGCCCAGUAGUGGGGGAUAGCCCGGCGAAAGCCGGAUUAAUACCGCAUACGACCUGUGGGUGAAAGCGGGGGAUCGCAAGACCUCGCGCUAUUGGAGCGGCCGAUAUCAGAUUAGCUAGUUGGUGGGGUAAAAGCCCACCAAGGCGACGAUCUGUAGCUGGUCUGAGAGGACGACCAGCCACACUGGGACUGAGACACGGCCCAGACUCCUACGGGAGGCAGCAGUGGGGAAUUUUGGACAAUGGGCGCAAGCCUGAUCCAGCCAUGCCGCGUGUGGGAAGAAGGCCUUCGGGUUGUAAACCAACUUUGUUCAGGGAAGAAACGGACGUCUUACUAAUAUUAGGG